AUUGAACGCUAGCGGGAUGCUUUACACAUGCAAGUCGAACGGAGUGGCGCACGGGUGAGUAAUAUAUCGGAACUUGCCCACUAGCGGGGGAUAACUACUCGAAAGAGUGGCUAAUCCCGCAUUCUCUUGGAGCUGCCGAUAUCGGAUUUGCUAGUUUGUGGGGUAAAGGCUCACCAAGGCAACGAUCCGUAUCUGGUUUGAGAGGACGACGAGCAAGACUGGGACUGAGACACGGCCCAGACUCCAACGGGAGGCAGCAGUGGGGAAUGUUGGACAAUGGGGGAAACCCUGAACCAGCCAUCCCGCGGGUAUGAUGAAGGCCUUCGGGUUGUAAAGUACUUUUGGCAGAGAAGCGGUAUCUGCAGAAUAAGCACCGGCUAACUACGUGCCAGCAGCCGCGGUAAUAC
rnacentral:rRNA from 1 species